CCUACGGGUGGCAGCAGUGGGGAAUAUUGGACAAUGGGGGCAACCCUGAUCCAGCCAUGCCGCGUGUGUGAAGAAGGCCCUCGGGUUGUAAAGCACUUUCAGUGAGGAAGAACGCCUGGUGGUUAAUACCCAUCAGGAAAGACAUCACUCACAGAAGAAGCACCGGCUAACUCCGUGCCAGCAGCCGCGGUAAUACGGAGGGUGCGAGCGUUAAUCGGAAUUACUGGGCGUAAAGCGCGCGUAGGUGGCUUGAUAAGCCGGUUGUGAAAGCCCCGGGCUCAACCUGGGAACGGCAUCCGGAACUGUCAAGCUAGAGUGCAGGAGAGGAAGGUAGAAUUCCCGGUGUAGCGGUGAAAUGCGUAGAGAUCGGGAGGAAUACCAGUGGCGAAGGCGGCCUUCUGGACUGACACUGACACUGAGGUGCGAAAGCGUGGGUAGCAAACAUGAUUAGAUACCCCUGUAGUC
rnacentral:rRNA from 1 species